AUUGAACGCUGGCGGCAUGCUUUACACAUGCAAGUCGAACGGUAACAUAAGAAAGCUUGCUUUCUUGAUGACGAGUGGCGAACGGGUGAGUAAUACAUCGGGAACGUACCCUGUAGUGGGGGGAUAACUACUCGAAAGAGUGGCUAAUACCGCAUACAACCUGAGGGUAAAAAGUGGGGGACCGCAAGGCCUUCACGCUAUAGGAGCGGCCGAUGGAAGAUUAGGUAGUUGGUGGGGUAAAGGCCUACCAAGCCGACGAUCUUUAGCGGGUCUGAGAGGACGAUCCGCCACACUGGGACUGAGACACGGCCCAGACUCCUACGGGAGGCAGCAGUGGGAAUUUGGACAAUGGGCGAAAGCCUGAUCCAGCAAUG
rnacentral:rRNA from 1 species